AUGAUUCAUGAACGACAAAUCGAGAAUGGCGAGGGCAUUGAAGCCUGGAUCCGCGGUGUUGUAAGAAUCGAAUGGAAACAACGUCAAAGGUUAACAAAAGUUGAUGAUAAACUAUGGAGGAUAAAGUGUUUUGAUGGUGGUGUAUCGUCGAAGGUUCACCGGAGAAGUUUGCAGCGAUGCUGCGUGAUUAAGUUGAAUCAAACACCAGAAGCAAUAACGACAUCGUAUCUUAAAGUUGUUGAUGGAUACGACUUGGAUCAGAGGUGGAAACUUGAAUACGACGGAGAUCGAUGGUGA